CCGGCCCCGCCGCCAUGAUGGCGCGGUUCGACCCCUCCGCCUCAGCCCCAUCGCGGAUUCCAACCCCUGCCUCCUUCUGCCCGCCGAGCUCCCGGGCCGGCGGCGGGAGAGAGACGCCAGGGCGGCGGAGAGCUGCCCCUGCCUCGCCUGAGGCUGCCGUCCCCUCAGGGGCGCCAUGGCGGAGCCCGCCUGAGGGAUCCGUGGCCUCUGAGAGAGAUCCAUCCCCUCUGGGGCGCCGUGGCAGAGCCCUCCAGCUGCGGUGUGCGGGAGCACCACACUCCUCGCUUCUGUUCUUCGUGGGCUUACAAUACUUGCAAGCACAGGGCAAGAGCUCUGCUCGUAACUUAUAAUUUAGAAGUUUAUGUGCUGCUCUGCAGGGACUGCAGCGUGUCAGCGUAACCCGAAGUCCAUCCCAAAUUGUUCAGCUUCAGGGCCAUACACCCAGAAAAGACGAGAAUUAUUUUAAACACUAUCCAUCACGGCUACUCUUUCAUAUAAAAUAAAGUGUUUUUUCAAGGGCCACAUCUGUUUUGCACAAGUAGGAAAACAAGGCCACGUGAAGCAAAGGUGUUUGCCCCCUGCUAGUGGUGGAAUUGGGGGCAAAAAGCACAAAAAACUCACUUCUGGCUCAUUGGACCAGCCAGGCAUUCUGAAACUUGGCUGUAGAUGAGCUUUGGGGGGGAUUUCUCUUACUUUUCUUUCAUAAAUCACACGUACAGGUUGCUCCUUGCACUGUGGUUGCUGUGUUCUGUGCCGGUGGUGGGAAGAUACAAGGCUUGCAGGAGAUAAUGGGACAGACUAGCAGAGGAUACUGGAAAUAAAAAACAAAAGAAGAGCAGAAAAUCCCUCAAAACCAGAUUUUCAUCUUUCUGCAGAGUCCUCAGCUUCCAAUCCAGAGAUCUCUUCAGGCCCAGAUGUGCCCACAGCAGGGUGGACUGAGGGGUGGGUGCAGCAUUGUGGUAACAUCCAAAACUGUCCUGAUUUCCUGGCUUUGUAUCCCUGAUCCUUUACCCUGCCCAGGUCAUUCUCAGCUGAUGGUUAACAAACAGACCCCAAGUCCUUUUAUUGCAGCUGUGACUCACUGAAAACAAGGAUCAGACACACCUUUUCCAUGAAAACCCUGCUGAACUGACUGCCCGAGCGCUUCAGGACUUGGAUGAGGAUCGUGGGCUUAGUGACUGCAGCUUCCCAGGGCUGAGGUCACGCGUGAGGAGCGUUUUUGGGCAUGUGCUGGUGCCGUACGUCAUCCUGGCUGCCCCUGCCUCUCCAAGGAUGCCGGAUUUGAUGUGCAUCAGAGAUUCCACUGCGCUGGAGAAUUUCCAUGGACUUCAGCACAAGGACAGAAAAUCUCGGAAACAAAACAAGCAAAGGGGAAGAAAAAAAACCACCAUAAUCAGCAGGAAAUUCAGGAGAGAGUUUCAGUUCUCAGAGAGUAGCAAAGAGGCACAAUGGCAGGUGGAGAACUACAUGAACCUAAUCAGAUAACAGAAUGGAGCCACUGAACAAUGGUGACACCGCCACGGUGAGUCACCAGAAAGGCUCUCUGGCUCAUACAGGCAAGUGCUGCACAGGUGACCCUUCCAGUUUUCAUCCUGAAGAGCCAGAAAAAGAUUAAACUGCAAAAUUAGUACUCUGAGGAACGAGAGGUGAAGGAAAAGCUUGUCAAAUCACGGAGCGACAUGCUCUGAGGGAUAAGAGUCAAAGGAAAAGCUGCUGAAACCAGAGAAAAAUGGGAUUUAAAAAAAAAAAGAAAAGAAAGAUCUCAGGGUAAUAAUAAUUAAAAAAAAAAAUCUAGAUGUGCUUUGUUAUGUAGCAGAAAGCUGACUUGACACAUCUCAACCCCAUGGGUAAUGGCAGCUUGGUUAUUCUGAGCCAUCUCCCAUCCUCCUCCUACAUGUCCAAAUAUUCCUGUCAGAACUGGUCAAAAUGUUUUAACUUGAUUUUUUUUUUUAUUUCGUUAUUUCUGAGCAGAAAUGUCUUUUCAUGCAAAACAAACAUUGUGACAGAAAGGGUAACUUUGGUCAGGAUGAUUUGUAAUGUAAACAAGGAGUCCAGUGAGAAAUAUCAUCAUGUUUGACAUCAGCUUUGUUAUGACAGAAAUCUGAAGUUUGUCUAACCUUAUUUUCUGCAGGAAAGGAGAUAGAGGGACAAAAAGAAAUCAAACUGCUUUUUUUUUAACUCCCCUCCCCCUGAGCCAACCCAAAAUUAUUUCUCUCAAUUGCAGAUUUUUCAUCCAUCUCAGCCACACCAUAAUGUUUUUCUCCACCCAAUUUUUUAGGGAACUGGGUCCAACAACUUAGUUUCCAGUUACAGACACACAAGAGCCAUUCCCUGACCUCGUUAUCCUGAGGAAAAGGAUAUUAUCCUGCUGCUUUUUUUGAGAGCAGCUCCAUCCAGCCACAGGCAGGAUGUGUGGGGACAGCUGUCCUGCGCUUCAGCUUGCUCUUGCAUGCUGUGAGUCCUGGCAGGGGGCUUCCGAGGGGCCCGGGGGAAAACCUGAACAUGUGGAGCAAUUUUCGGGAUGCAGAGGUGAGGCUGUGGGUGAUCCGUCAGGACUAGACGGCAGGUGGCACCCAUGGAUUAGCACAGGGCUCGCUCCAGCCAGGCUGGGCAGUGCCUGCAGCUGGGCUUCAGCUUCACCUUCCAUGAGCCACAACUGCAGGGAUUUGGGCUCUUUUGCUGCCAUGCAGGGACAUCCCUGUGUCCUGGGGCUACUCCCCACAGGCCAGACUAUUCCCAUCACAUUUUAUUUGCCUGGGGACUCAGCUUGGUUUUGGACAAGGGGGUGCCCACGGCAAUCAGGGGUGUUGUGCCAGGGCACUGCUCCCAACGGGAUGGGGAAGUAAAGGGAACACCGUGGCUGGCAGGGAAGGACCAGUCCCAGGGUACCUGAGUAAGGAGAGCAGGAGGCAGCUGGGGUCAGCCAAGAGUCCCUGUCAUCCUGCACAUUCACAGCAGUAGGGCAGGCUGGAGGAAUCAAUCCAUAGCUCAGGAUCAAUCCUGGUAUGGGCAGCCACAGCCAGGUGAUCCCUAGGCAGGUCCAAGGGGACAAAACAGAGCUGAGCUCAAGCUGGGAAAUCAGUCUAGAUCAGGAUUCACAUCAAUAGGGUCUAUAGCUGCAGGUAUAGCUGGGACUAAACUAGAGACCAGCACCCCAGAGAUGCAACUCAAACUGGGACCAGCCCUGGGCUGAGCUUAAAUGGGCUCCCAAGCUCAUGGGCAAGUGUGACUGGGAAUUCCAUCCCAGGCGGGGCUGCUCGGGGCUGUCAGUGCCUCCAGGACUUAUCCCCCAGCCUGCAGGCACUGGUUCCUCAAGAGGUAGAAGACCUUGUGCUGUCCUCAAAGUGCUGUUUUGUACAUCAAGGGACACCUCAGCGAGCCAUGUGGUCCCUUUUUUCCCCCAAGGAUAUAUUUGGCUGUGCCACCCUGGCCCUCUGCAGUGGAGGUCUCUUGGUUUGUUCAGCCUGGAGAAGAGGAGACUGAGGGGAGACCUCAGUGGGACCUUCAACAUCCUCAUAAGGGGCAGUGGAGGGGCAGCACUGAUCUCUGUGGGAUCCAGUGACCCGAGGGAGGUAAAGGGAAUGGCCUGAAGUUGUGUCAGGGCAGGUUUAGAUUGGAUAUCUGGAA